AUACUGCAAUAUUCUUGCAUCUUCUCCGAAUGUAGAAGGAUAAUGGAGAGAUUCUCUUAACUCUUUUCAAAGUGAAUGAUUUAUAAUUGCUCUAUCAGAACAGCAAUAAAGUGAUGUGAAGUCUGCAUUGGCUUCACUCUGCAAGAUUCAGCUGAACUGGAACCUUGGAUCCAGCUAACUUUUGUUAGCCUCAUGAUUAAGAUGGACGUGUAGAAGUAACUUUUGACUGAAGAUUGUGUCUAUUUAACUCAAGAAUGACAGUAAAAAUUGCUAUCGUGGUAGUACUAGCUUAGUGCUUAUAAUAAGUUAUUCAUAGAAGCACUUUUUAAGAAAGUUUUAUUUAUUUAUAUAAACAGUUAUUAUUGUUUAGUGGAUAUAGGUUAUGUUUUGAUAGAAAUUGGAGCCUCAGUGAUAUAUCAAAUACAUAUCCUAUAUAGCAAUGGUUUACAAAGGACUUACUUUCUGCAGUUACACCAAGUUGGAAAAAUGUAAUACAAUGUGUUCUGCUUUCAAAAUGAUAACAUGUUUUUUUUUAAAGGCAUUGCCAGAAAUUGAGUAUGUAUGAUGAGACUGUAGGAAGAAAAAUUUUUGCCAAGAUUAGAUAAUUGUAUGCAUCUACCUUUAAAAGUUGCCUACCAUUGCCUGCUCCAGAGCCUCUUUUCCUGGCAGGUGAAUAAAGUGUCUUCUUCAAUAAAACUGCUGGAUUAAGUUUGA